GAUGAACGCUGGCGGCGUGCCUAAUACAUGCAAGUCGAGCGAACAGACGAGGAGCUUGCUCCUCUGACGUUAGCGGCGGACGGGUGAGUAACACGUGGAUAACCUACCUAUAAGACUGGGAUAACUUAGGGAAACCGGAGCUAAUACCGGAUAAUAUAUUGAACCGCAUGGUUCAAUAGUGAAAGACGGUUUUGCUGUCACUUAUAGAUGGAUCCGCGCCGCAUUAGCUAGUUGGUAAGGUAACGGCUUACCAAGGCAACGAUGCGUAGCCGACCUGAGAGGGUGAUCGGCCACACUGGAACUGAGACACGGUCCAGACUCCUACGGGAGGCAGCAGUAGGGAAUCUUCCGCAAAGGGCGAAAGCCUGACGGAGCAACGCCGCGUGAGUGAUGAAGGUCUUCGGAUCGUAAAACUCUGUUAUUAGGGAAGAACAAAUGUGUAAGUAACUAUGCACGUCUUGACGGUACCUAAUCAGAAAGCCACGGCUAACUACGUG
rnacentral:rRNA from 1 species